rnacentral:rRNA from 1 species
UACGUAGGUGGCAAGCGUUGUCCGGAUUUAUUGGGUUUAAAGGGUGCGUAGGCGGCUGGUUAAGUCAGUGGUGAAAGACGACAGCUCAACUGUUGAGGUGCCAUUGAUACUGACCAGCUAGAGUACUGAUGAGGUAGGCGGAAUGGACGGUGUAGCGGUGAAAUGCAUAGAUAUCGUCCAGAACACCGAUAGCGAAGGCAGCUUACUAAGGAGUAACUGACGCUGAGGCACGAAAGUGUGGGGAUCAAACAGG